rnacentral:tRNA from 1 species
GGGGAUUUAGCUCAGUGGUAGAGCGCUUGCCUAGGAAGCGCAAGGCCCUGGGGUUCGGUCCCCCAGCUCCG